rnacentral:rRNA from 1 species
CGGGCUGGAACCUCUCGGGGUUACAGCCUUGCUGAAUUAUUCACCCUUGUCUUUUGCGUACUUCUUGUUUCCUUGGUGGGUUCGCCCACCACUAGGACAAACAUAAACCUUUUGUAAUUGCAAUCAGCGUCAGUAACAAAUUAAUAAUUACAACUUUCAACAACGGAUCUCUUGGUUCUGGCAUCGAUGAAGAACGCAGCGAAAUGCGAUAAGUAGUGUGAAUUGCAGAAUUCAGUGAAUCAUCGAAUCUUUGAACGCACAUUGCGCCCUUUGGUAUUCCAAAGGGCAUGCCUGUUCGAGCGUCAUUUGUACCCUCAAGCUUUGCUUGGUGUUGGGCGUCUUGUCUCUAGCUUUGCUGGAGACUCGCCUUAAAGUAAUUGGCAGCCGGCCUACUGGUUUCGGAGCGCAGCACAAGUCGCACUCUCUAUCAGCAAAGGUCUAGCAUCCAUUAAGCCUUUUUUUCAACUUUUGACCUCGGAUCAGGUAGGGAUACCCGCUGAACUUAAGCAUAUCAAUAAGCGGAGGAA